UUGGACCCCACCCCUACCCGGGUCACAAUAGGGAUCUGGUGGGGGGGAAGGGGGGACAGAGGGACAGCAGGGGCUCCACUCUGGCCGCUAGGCCGUCCUAGGUGCUGCAGGAAGCAACAUGACUUAGGUGGUUCUGCCCAGAGGUGUACCAGCCAGGAUGCAGCAGCCCCAAGUGGAGACGGGUGCCAUCGGGGCCGGCGAGGGGCCGCAGCAGGCAGUGCCCUGGUCAGCCUGGGUCAUGCGGCAGGCCUGGGUGCGCUGGUGCAUGUGCCACAUGCCUCGGAGCUGGGCCCAGUGGUGGACCACAUCGGGCUGGCGGCAGCCACUCCAGCGUGUGCUGUGGGGGCUGGAGGGGAUCCUCUACCUGCUGCUGGCGCUGAUGCUAUGCCACGCGCUCUUCACCACCGGCUCCUACCUGCUGAGCUCCUUGUGGCCUGUCGUGACUGCAGCGUGGCGCCAUCUGCUGCCAGCUGUCCUGCUGCUGGUGCUCAGCGCCCUCCCUGCCCUGCUCUUCACGGCCUCCUUCCUGCUGCUUUUCUCCACGCUGUUGAGCCUCGUGGGCCUCCUCACCUCCAUGUCUCACCCAGACUACACUCAGGACUUGGACCAAUAGAAGGGCAACCCCAUCCCGCUGCCUGUGUCUGUUGAGCCCUGGGGAAGGGGAGGCCCCAGACCUCCCAUCCCUAGCACUGCUCGGGCCAUGUGUGAUGUUGCUAAAGCUGGCAGGGUAGACUAGCCUGACCUCUGGGCACCUUCCCCAAGCCAAUGCUACAGGCUCUAGAAAGAGCCCACUGACAGAAACCUAUCUGGGAGAAGGCCGUCCAGAAGUCCCAUGAGACCUCAACUAACACCUCUCGCUCCUUUCUGCUCAGGCAUCCCCCACUCCCUAGACUUCUUCCCUUCUGCCUUGGUGAGCAUCCCUGAGUCUGGGAGAUGGGCCACUACUAGGGUAGUGAGGAUCCCAGAAGAGACCUACUCUAAGUUUCCUAAGGUCUGUUAUGGAAAAAUGAACAAGAAGUCCCAUUUCCUCACUUAAACAAUGUGCGGCCAUGGCCAACCAA